ensembl:rRNA 5S_rRNA 5S ribosomal RNA
GUCUACGGCCAUACCACCUGGAAUGCGCCCAAUCCCGUCUGAUCUUGGAAGCUAAGCAAGGUCGGGCCUCGUUAGUACUUGAAAGGGAGACUGCGUGGGAAUACCAGGUGCUGCAGGCU